GAGGAGGAGGAGGAGGUAAAAUUUUAUUCGACCAAGGGAUUCGGGUACGUACGUCCCAGGGUCCCCGCAUGCCCCCACUGUGUCUGUGUGU
rnacentral:lncRNA from 1 species